UUUGUUUGGAGAGUUUGAUCCUGGCUCAGGACGAACGCUGGCGGCGUGCUUAACACAUGCAAGUCGAACGGAAAGGUCUCUUCGGAGACACUCGAGUGGCGAACGGGUGAGUAACACGUGGGCAAUCUGCCCUGCACACCGGGAUAAGCCUGGGAAACUGGGUCUAAUACCGGAUAGGACCACUUGGCGCAUGCCUUGUGGUGGAAAGCUUUUGCGGUGUGGGAUGGGCCCGCGGCCUAUCAGCUUGUUGGUGGGGUGACGGCCUACCAAGGCGACGACGGGUAGCCGGCCUGAGAGGGUGUCCGGCCACACUGGGACUGAGAUACGGCCCAGACUCCUACGGGAGGCAGCAGUGGGGAAUAUUGCACAAUGGGCGCAAGCCUGAUGCAGCGACGCCGCGUGGGGGAUGACGGCCUUCGGGUUGUAAACCUCUUUCACCAUCGACGAAGGUCCGGGUUCUCUCGGAUUGACGGUAGGUGGAGAAGAAGCACCGGCCAACUACGUGCCAGCAGCCGCGGUAAUACGUAGGGUGCGAGCGUUGUCCGGAAUUACUGGGCGUAAAGAGCUCGUAGGUGGUUUGUCGCGUUGUUCGUGAAAUCUCACGGCUUAACUGUGAGCGUGCGGGCGAUACGGGCAGACUAGAGUACUGCAGGGGAGACUGGAAUUCCUGGUGUAGCGGUGGAAUGCGCAGAUAUCAGGAGGAACACCGGUGGCGAAGGCGGGUCUCUGGGCAGUAACUGACGCUGAGGAGCGAAAGCGUGGGGAGCGAACAGGAUUAGAUACCCUGGUAGUCCACGCCGUAAACGGUGGGUACUAGGUGUGGGUUUCCUUCCUUGGGAUCCGUGCCGUAGCUAACGCAUUAAGUACCCCGCCUGGGGAGUACGGCCGCAAGGCUAAAACUCAAAGGAAUUGACGGGGGCCCGCACAAGCGGCGGAGCAUGUGGAUUAAUUCGAUGCAACGCGAAGAACCUUACCUGGGUUUGACAUGCACAGGACGCGUCUAGAGAUAGGCGUUCCCUUGUGGCCUGUGUGCAGGUGGUGCAUGGCUGUCGUCAGCUCGUGUCGUGAGAUGUUGGGUUAAGUCCCGCAACGAGCGCAACCCUUGUCUCAUGUUGCCAGCGGGUAAUGCCGGGGACUCGUGAGAGACUGCCGGGGUCAACUCGGAGGAAGGUGGGGAUGACGUCAAGUCAUCAUGCCCCUUAUGUCCAGGGCUUCACACAUGCUACAAUGGCCGGUACAAAGGGCUGCGAUGCCGCGAGGUUAAGCGAAUCCUUUUAAAGCCGGUCUCAGUUCGGAUCGGGGUCUGCAACUCGACCCCGUGAAGUCGGAGUCGCUAGUAAUCGCAGAUCAGCAACGCUGCGGUGAAUACGUUCCCGGGCCUUGUACACACCGCCCGUCACGUCAUGAAAGUCGGUAACACCCGAAGCCAGUGGCCUAACCCUCGGGAGGGAGCUGUCGAAGGUGGGAUCGGCGAUUGGGACGAAGUCGUAACAAGGUAGCCGUACCGGAAGGUGCGGCUGGAUCACCUCCUUUCU
rnacentral:rRNA from 1 species